GCCAUUCUCCUGUCUCAGCCUCCUGAGUAGCUGGGAUUACAGGCGCCUGCCGCCACGCCCAGCUAAUUUUUUGUAUUUUUAGUAAACACGGGGUUUUACCAUGUUAGCCAGAAUGGUCUUGAUCUCCUGACCUCAUGAUCUGCCCAUCUUGGCCUCCCAAAGUACUGGGAUUACAGUCGUGAGCCACCCCACCCGGCCGAUGGUUGGUUUCUUAAGAAAGGUACUCAGGUCAGAAUGUGGAAUCCAAAGACGAAAUAGAAAGCAGAUAUGUCUCAUCCUGCUGAGGCUAACUGAACAUUCUGUAUACCUCUGGGAGAGAUCUUCUAUGUACAUGAACAUAGACAGAGUCUCACUCUGUUGCCCAGGUUGGAGUGCGAUGACACGAUCUUGGCUCACUGAAUCCUCCACCUCCUGGAUUCAAGCAAUUCUCCUGCCUUAGCCUCCUGAGUAGCUGGGACUACAGGCGUGUUCCGCCACACCCAGCUAAUUGUUGUAUUUUUAGUAGAGACGAGGCUUCACCAUAUUGACCAGGCUGGUCUCAAACUCCUGACCUCAGGUGAUCCACCUGUCUCAGCCUCCCAAAGUGCUGGGAUUAUAGGUGUAAGCCACCACGCCCAGCCUGUAACAGUUAACUUUAUAUGCCAACUUGACUACACCAUAGGGUUCCCAAAUUAAACAUUAUUUUUGAAUGUG